CUACGGGAGGCAGCAGUGGGGAAUAUUGGACAAUGGGCGAAAGCCUGAUCCAGCCAUGCCGCGUGUGUGAAGAAGGUCUUCGGAUUGUAAAGCACUUUAAGUUGGGAGGAAGGGUUGUAGAUUAAUACUCUGCAAUUUUGACGUUACCGACAGAAUAAGCACCGGCUAACUCUGUGCCAGCAGCCGCGGUAAUACAGAGGGUGCAAGCGUUAAUCGGAAUUACUGGGCGUAAAGCGCGCGUAGGUGGUUUGUUAAGUUGGAUGUGAAAUCCCCGGGCUCAACCUGGGAACUGCAUCCAAAACUGGCAAGCUAGAGUAUGGUAGAGGGUGGUGGAAUUUCCUGUGUAGCGGUGAAAUGCGUAGAUAUAGGAAGGAACACCAGUGGCGAAGGCGACCACCUGGACUGAUACUGACACUGAGGUGCGAAAGCGUGGGGAGCAAACAGGA
rnacentral:rRNA from 1 species